UCGGUUUGGGAGGGUCUCGCGGCCUAUCAGCUAGUUGGUGGGGUAACGGCCUACCAAGGCAUCGACGGGUAGCUGGUCUGAGAGGAUGAUCAGCCACACUGGGACUGAGACACGGCCCAGACUCCUACGGGAGGCAGCAGUGGGGAAUCUUGCGCAAUGGGCGAAAGCCUGACGCAGCAACGCCGCGUGCGGGAUGACGGCCCUCGGGUUGUAAACCGCUUUCAGUAGGAACGAAAAUGACGGUACCUACAGAAGAAGGUCCGGCCAACUACGUGCCAGCAGCCGCGGUAACACGUAGGGACCAAGCGUUGUCCGGAUUUAUUGGGCGUAAAGAGCUCGUAGGCGGUUCAGCAAGUCGGGUGUGAAAACUCUGGGCUCAACCCGGAGACGCCACCCGAUACUGUUGUGACUCGAGUCCGGUAGGGGAGUGGGGAAUUCCUGGUGUAGCGGUGAAAUGCGCAGAUAUCAGGAGGAACACCGGUGGCGAAGGCGCCACUCUGGGCCGGUACUGACGCUGAGGAGCGAAAGCGUGGGUAGCAAACAGGAUUAGAUACCCUGGUAGUCCACGCCGUAAACGGUGGGCACUAGGUGUGGGCCUUUAUCAACGAGGUCCGUGCCGUCGCUAACGCAUUAAGUGCCCCGCCUGGGGAGUACGGCCGCAAGGCUAAAACUCAA
rnacentral:rRNA from 1 species